rnacentral:rRNA from 1 species
UGGGGAAUAUUGCACAAUGGGCGAAAGCCUGAUGCAGCGACGCCGCGUGAGGGAUGACGGCCUUCGGGUUGUAAACCUCUUUCGGCCCUGACGAAGCGCAAGUGACGGUAGGGGCAGAAGAAGCGCCGGCCAACUACGUGCCAGCAGCCGCGGUAAGACGUAGGGCGCGAGCGUUGUCCGGAUUUAUUGGGCGUAAAGAGCUCGUAGGCGGCUUGUCGCGUCGACUGUGAAAACCCGCGGCUCAACUGUGGGCUUGCAGUCGAUACGGGCAGGCUAGAGUUCGGUAGGGGAGACUGGAAUUCCUGGUGUAGCGGUGAAAUGCGCAGAUAUCAGGAGGAACACCGGUGGCGAAGGCGGGUCUCUGGGCCGAUACUGACGCUGAGGAGCGAAAGCGUGGGGAGCGAACA